AAGUAUUUACACGUUUCCUCGUGAAUCUGAAAAUAGAAAAGUCUCUUGCAAGGACAUCUGAGCUGCUCGUAAAGCUCUCGCCGAAAGGUCCUCCUUCAUGAGGGUGUCCAGAGGAACAAUCCAGCUGUCCCCCAGCUCACCGUUGAGGUUCACCUUCUUCUCCUGCAUUUCGGAGGAGGUCUCCAUCACCUCCAGCGUGGGGUUGUCAUGGUAGCCGUUCUCCAUGGUCUGCAUCUCCUCGGUCAGGCGCUGCUAUGAGGAAAGAAAACCAUAAACCCCACUGAGCAACACCUUAGCCAUGCUAGCUAAAUCCUCAGGAUCAGCAGCUGGGACCAGUGCAAACCUCAGUGCCCCCAGGUGUGGGAAUGGCCAGUCCUUGCUGGGGGAUGCUACACUAAAAUCACCUAGGAUUGCUUCCUGAGAUAAAAAUCACAUUAUUUUCUCUUU